rnacentral:lncRNA from 1 species
CUUCCGGUGGUGGCUGAGGGCUCGUGCUCGAGGCUGAGGGAUGCUGGUGACUCCCGGGGUCCCCAGCCCCGCCCCCAUCGGACGCCUCCACAGGCGGCGCACCCUUUCCGCCAUCCGCAGAGCAAGGCUGCCUCGGGGCGGCUCAGUCCGGCGCUUCUUACCUUACCUCCGUCUCAUCCUUAACUCACCACGAGCGUCCAGGGUCCACAUCCUCCUAAAUGGCCACUCGUCUUAAUCUCGGCGUCAGGACCCACGCGGGGUCAGGACUACCCCUCCGCUUCCAUGACUGUCUCCUCGCGGCUCCGGCUCCCACGGAGCGACCCCUCCGGGUUUUACUGACCCCGGGAUGUUGUAUCCUGGAAACUGCAGUUCCACCCAGGGGCUUGAUCUGGGUUAGUCUGGGGGCAAGUGAGCCGCCGAUUCUGUUUGGGUUUUUUUUUUUUUUUUUUUGAGACGGAGUUUCCCUCUUGUUGCCCGGGCUGGAGUGCAAUGGCGCGAAGUCGGCUCAACGCAACCUCCGCCUCCCAGGUUCAAGCGACUCUUCUGCCUCAGCCUCCCAAGUAGCUGGGACUACAGGCAUGCGCCACCACGCCAGGCUAAUUUUGUAUUUUUAGUAGAGACGGGGUUUCUCCAUGUUGGUCUGGCUGGUCUUGAACUCCCGAGCUCAGGUGAUCUGCCCGCCUCGGACUCCCAAAGUGCUGGGAUUACAGGCGUGAGCCACCAUUCCCGGGCGCUGUUUGGGUUUGUUUUUUUGUUUUUGUUUUUUACGUUCACAGCAUGGACGGUCAGUGUGAAGAUCCCAGCUGCUCGGGUCCUAGCUGGAAUUCUUCCAUUAAAAAAAUCUGUUUGUUAUGCAUGGGUUAGUUCACAGAGGAAUAGCUGGAUAAGUGCUGGCUUUUUCCCCGAUUUACCCAUUUUCAACCUAAUAAUGCAGGUUUUUGAAAUAAUGUGAAUGGUUACUGCUGGCGGAUGUUCACAGGGACACACCGGAUUCUACAGACACAUCUGAUGAUCUAGCCACGGCUGUCACUUUCCCCACUGCCGCGUUGUCCAUCACUAGGACUUUACUGCCAAUCCUUGCAAGAUAGUGGGGAACUAGAAUAACAGACAUGGGACAUUACCAGUUACAACCAAAGACAAGCUUGGCACAUUUGACUGUCCUCGUUCCUGCUCCUCCGUGCCUGGCCCUCUUCAGGCUUCUCAGCUCCUGGGGAGCGGCCAGCCAGGGAGCAUCAGCUGGUGGGAGCGAUGGGGUUGUGGGAUGGCACAAAAAAACACCAAGCGCCACUCAGAAAGGAAAUGCCGAAUGCAGACUCUCACUCAGUCGGUGUGGGGGCCAGGACCCUGUCUCUACCAAGUGUGCGGGAGCUGCCCCUGGCCGGGAGCUCCCAGACCCCACUGCAGAGCCGCAGCUCCAGUUGUCCCAGGGGCGACUACUCAGGUGUCCAUCGCCAUGCACAUGUGACACAGAAAAGGGUGAGGCGAGGAGGGGGAACGCUGGAAAUUGUUUCACGGAAAAGGGCGAGGCAAGGGAGGGGAACACUGGAACUUGUGCUUUGGGUAGGCGAUAGCUAAGGAUUCUCUCUCGUCUGGGUCACGGAGAUUGUGCAGCCACAGAACACCUGGUGUCAUCAGGGCCUGAGCUCCUCCCUUCUACAAAGACCUCUGGUCUGCAGGCCUGCAGGUACAGUGCUGUGGGCCACAAGGCUGCUGUUACUGAGCUGUGGGGACCAGGAUGCCCUACCAUGAUGGAGACCCAAGCCUCUCUCAUGAUGACUAUUCCCAAGGGCACUGCAGAGGGGAGGAGCUGUCUCCUCCUCCGUGUGGCCCACGCAGAGCUGGUGCAGGUCUGAGUGAGCUCACCAAGACAGGCCAAUCCCAGCCCCAGACUCCAAAGCAUCCCCAAGAGGUCAGGGAGAGGCUCUGUGCCCCUGACCCCAAGGAUAUGCACAGGUCACAAGGCAGAGCCCCCGCUAGACAGCAGGAGCACCCUGCUCUGUCAGCCUGCUUCCCCAGGACGGAGGCCCUGGUGGUAAGGCAGGCAGGUCUUGAGCCCCCACAAGACAGCAGGAUACAACAUAACCCUUUUUAAUCUGAAGUGUAGACUUCAUCCUCACGUUAGAAAACUCCAUCUUUUUUUU